GACGAACGCUGGCGGCGCGCUUAACACAUGCAAGUCGAACGGAAAGGCCUGCUUUCCCUUGUGCAUUGCGGGUACUCGAGUGGCGAACGGGUGAGUAACACGUGAGUUAUCUGCUCCCAACUUGGGUAUAAGCCUGGGAAACCGGGCCUAAUUCCCGAUAGGACUGCAGGGUGGUGCCUGUGGUGGAAAACGAUCUUCUAGUGGUUGGGGAUGAGCUCGCGGCCUAUCAGCUUGUUGGUGAGGUAAUGGUCUACCAAGUCGGCGACGGGUAGCCGGCAGGAGAGGGUGGACAGUCAGACUGAGACAGGGAUCAGACCCCGACUGGAAGGGGAGGUAGCAGUGGGGAAAAUAUGAGCAUAAGCGGGAUCCUGAAGCAGCGAGGGCGCGUAGGAGAUGACCGGGUUCGAGAUGUAAACUCCUUGCGACGGAAAGGAAGUGACCUAGUUGGAAGGGUGGUGACGGUAGUGGUAGAAGAAGCACCGGCUAACUACGUG
rnacentral:rRNA from 1 species